AGGAGAGGAGAGGACCCAGCCUGCGGGUCUCAAGCAGGCAGCUUAGCAGAGAGCUGUAAGCCUUCUACGGGAGGCAGAGCAGAAGGCAGACAGAGAGUGCAAGCUGAGGCACUCUCUCAGUCUCCUGAAGCGGCUGACGCUCAGGAGGCAGGGGAGUGCUCUGCUGUUGGUAGGAGAGGGGAGACAGCAGAGGCUCCAAGAGGGAGCUGGAAUCAGGGGAAUCACCCUGCAGCUCCUCCUAACUCAGAGGAGUAUUUCUUGUAAAAGAAGAGAAAGGAGAAAUUGCUCCCAGAAGGAGGGAGAAUGACUGGGAACUGGAGAACCGGUCUGAGGCUGUCAUAUGAGGCCUGGAAACAUCUUGAAUGCAUCACCCAGUGGUUGGCGCCUGGACAGGGUGUAGGGGAGGCGGAGCCCUGUGGACCACCGUGUCAGAUGACCGUAUGCUGCUUUAAGCCAACCUUUACCUGCCAAUGUCCCAGCACAUCGCAUCCAGCCUGGAGACUGGGUAUAUGUGAAAACUUGAAAAUGGUCUCCCCUUGAACCCAAGUGGCAAGGACCGUAUCAAGUCCUCCUCACCUGCCACACCGCCGUAAAAGUAGCAGAAAAGAACAACUAGAUUCAUUAUACUCGUACAAAGAAGACAGAAAUUUCAUCAAAGCUCAGGAUCAACUCCAACACAAGCUUCCCUGACCUGGAAAAGGGGAAGCCAGAAGAAGAUGACUGCGGACUUCGCGGGAGCACCGCACGCCCACCUGACCGCGACAAGGGUGAGCCAGAAGCAGACGAAAAAAUAAAAACAAACACCUCCUGGACCUGCAGCCCAUUAAAUAAUAUAAAAAUCAAACUAACCAAAGUCCACUAAUAAACUAUCACCCUUUUAGAGUCCUGCCCAGCCCAAAGAACACCAAACUCCAAGUACUGCAUGCUUUAGACACUUUUAGAUCAGCCAAAUCCAAGUACUUUGAGACUGUAACAUGCCCCAGAAAAACAGUUAUUGGAGCUGCAGGGUUGUUUAUACUGUUUGUGCUGAUUUUUGUUAUAAUAUGGCUUUUAUAACUAUGUUAUUUCUAAUCUUUCUCUUUGCUAGAAAAAUAAGUCUUUUACAGAGGUCAACUAUAGCUACCAGUUGCUGCAGAUGUGCUAAUCCUGGCACCUGCAGUUUUCCUGUCUAGAUAAGCAAUUCAAUCAAACUCUCUAAAAUAGACAGAAAGGUCAACAUUGCCCACUAGUAUCCUCCCUCACAUUGCUGUAGUUCAGCAGAAGUCCGAGUAUUUACUUAUAGAACAGAAUAUUGUGUAAAGCCUAGCCACCCAGUUUUCAAACAAUUUGCAGAGUCUCCUCAGGCUAAGACUACUCUUAAACCUACUGUUGCCCAUAUCUCUAAUAACAAUAUGUACCUCCAAUACGUUGAGAGAGCCGCUAAAACAGAAAACCAAAAUAACUGUUGGGUGUGCAGUCAUUUUCCUCUCCACACCCAAGGAGGAAUUCCCAUGACUCCCAUCCCCUGAGGCCCCAUCGAGUCACUUUUAAACCCCUCUAAUAACCAAGCUUGAGACCAAAAUCAGCAAGAGUUCCUUUUAGUAAAGCCUGUUGUUAAAGAUUAGUGUUUUUAUGUAAACUGCUCAGUAUCAAACUGCAUCAAUUUAGGCACCAGCAUAUAUCACCACUAUUUUACUAGUUUAAUUAGAGGAGACUGGCGUAAUAAUAAUACAGCAACCCCUACCUAUUGCAGCUCUUACAAUGAUUUCUACAGUGGCAAAAAUUUAACCAAGAGCACUAAUCCUAUCUGCACCCUCAUCUCCUCUUUAAAUAAUACCUUGUAGUAUUGUUUAUACACUAAUACCUCCUGGGGACAACGCUUCUUCAAUGAAACUGCAAAUCCUUCCUUUAAAUCAAAAGGUAAACGAGGAGUACUAGAACUAAGAAAUGGUAGCCAAAUACCUCCUAAGUAUUCAAACCUCACUGCUUUAAAAGAACAAUACUGGGUCUAUGACUCCCAUGCCUACCAUAAAAUCUCUGCCAAAGGAAAAGGUAUCUGCUAUCUGGCAAUACUAAAACCCUCUACGUCCUUUGCCACACACCUUCCAUGGGGCAGGUGGCAAAACAAGAGGGAUUUGCAAAAAAGCCAUGAUAUAGUAAACAAAUAUAAAAAAACUCCACUUACCAAAGAAGUAUUACUCAGGUGUUCCCUUGCAAGUAUGUUCCCGGGAAUAGACACUGUGUGUCUUGAAAGAUUUACAUUACGCCUCCAAGCUGUGAUAGAAAUCAUGGCUCACGAAUUCAGUGAAGGUCACAAAGAACUCUCGAAGGCCAUUACUGCUUUAGCUGACACCCAAGAAGAACUCUGACAAAUAAUAAUUCAAAACUGUAUAGCCUUCGAUUUUCUCCACGCCGCCCAAAAAGAAGUGCAUGCACAGUCAUCAAACCAGAAUGUUGUGUAUGGGUUAACAGUUCUUUUACCAUAGUUCAAACCCACUUCAAUGAUACAGCUGUACAUACCCAAAAAGCCGAAAAUGUAGCUAAAAUCCUCAAAGAUGCAUUUCUUAGCUAGCUUACUAACUAGUUCUCUUCCCUUACAGGAUAGCUUAGACCUUUUAUAUUAAGCUUAAUCAGAAUUGUUAUAACUGUAAUCUGCCUGUUGUGCUGUUUUCAGUGUUUAUGCUCUCUAGUACAACAGUUUAUGCAAAGGCAAGUAAAAAUGUAUGGUCAGUUUGUACAAAUAUCCAACAACAAUCAUCAAAACCUAACCCCACAAGAAUUUAAAUACCUAAAAGUAUGUUCCAAAAAUUCCUCUAGAAAUUUGGAACAAAGGGGGGGGACUGUGGUAGGCAUCUUUGUUAUUACCCUGAAAUAAAAUAGUUUUCUGAUAGCAUACUGUUAGGUUAACAAUAAUUUAGAUUAUUAAGAAGUAUUAGCUUUACAGCUGAAUACAAGGCAUGACCUGUGGCCUAGCAAUAUUGCUGACCACAAGGCAGAAUGAUAGCUAAGCCUUUGCUUAUGUUAAGGAAUCAUUUAACUGUGUUAACCAUUUUCUGAGUAAAAUGCAGCAAGUGAAUCUGUGUCUGUGUGCUGUAAAAUCAGCUACAGCAAGGAACAAGAUAAGACAAAGAAGCCAUUGUUCUAAGUACAGUAAUCGUGUCCUUAAGAAAUAUCUACUACUGUGCAAGUUUUUGCUAACAUAUCAUAAUGUUACUGUUACUUAACUUUUAGCUUUUAGAAAGUGCUAGUUCAGCUUAAUAGAACUAUGCUGUUAUGAAGAUCUGUGAAGCACCGCCCAAGUAUUGCUUUUUAUUAACCCUGUAGUCUUGCCUUGUUGUAAAAAGUAUAAAAGAACACCCCACCCUUUAGGGGGGGCCAUUUUGCCUCUUUGCUGGCUUAAUGGUCAUUGCUCGAGCAAAUAAACUGCAGUUAAUUCUU